AUUGAACGCUGGCGGCAGGCCUAACACAUGCAAGUCGAACGGUAACAGGAAGAAGCUUGCUUCUUUGCUGACGAGUGGCGGACGGGUGAGUAAUGUCUGGGAAACUGCCUGAUGGAGGGGGAUAACUACUGGAAACGGUAGCUAAUACCGCAUAACGUCGCAAGACCAAAGAGGGGGACCUUCGGGCCUCUUGCCAUCGGAUGUGCCCAGAUGGGAUUAGCUAGUGGGUGGGGUAACGGCUCACCUAGGCGACGAUCCCUAGCUGGUCUGAGAGGAUGACCAGCCACACUGGAACUGAGACACGGUCCAGACUCCUACGGGAGGCAGCAGUGGGGAAUAUUGCACAAUGGGCGCAAGCCUGAUGCAGCCAUGCCGCGUGUACGAAGAAGGCCUUCGGGUUGUAAAGUACUUUCAGCGGGGAGGAAGGGAGUAAAGUUAAUACCUUUGCUCAUUGACGUUACCCGCAGAAGAAGCACCGGCUAACUCCGUG
rnacentral:rRNA from 1 species